rnacentral:piRNA from 1 species
UGUCUUCAAUAAUGUCACAGGGUCUC